rnacentral:rRNA from 1 species
GUGAGGAAUAUUGGUCAAUGGACGCAAGUCUGAACCAGCCAAGUCGCGUGAAGGAAGACGGUUCUAUGAAUUGUAAACUUCUUUUGUGCAGGAAUAAAGUGGGUUACGUGUAACCUUUUGUAUGUACUGUACGAAUAAGGAUCGGCUAACUCCGUGCCAGCAGCCGCGGUAAUACGGAGGAUCCGAGCGUUAUCCGGAUUUAUUGGGUUUAAAGGGUGCGUAGGUGGAUUGAUAAGUCAGCGGUGAAAGUUUGCAGCUUAACUGUAAAAUUGCCGUUGAAACUGUCGGUCUUGAGUGCAAAUGAGGUAGGCGGAAUGUGUUGUGUAGCGGUGAAAUGCUUAGAUAUAACACAGAACUCCGAUUGCGAAGGCAGCUUACUGGGAUGCAACUGACACUGAUGCACGAAAGCGUGGGUAUCAAACAGGAUUAGAAACCCGAGUAGUCC